rnacentral:rRNA from 1 species
AUGCAAGUCGAACGAAGCACCUUACCUGAUUCUUCGGAUGAAGGUCUGGUGACUGAGUGGCGGACGGGUGAGUAACGCGUGGGUAACCUGCCCUGUACAGGGGGAUAACAGUUGGAAACGGCUGCUAAUACCGCAUAAGCGCACGAGAGGACAUCCUCUUGUGUGAAAAACUCCGGUGGUACAGGAUGGGCCCGCGUCUGAUUAGCUGGUUGGCAGGGUAACGGCCUACCAAGGCGACGAUCAGUAGCCGGUCUGAGAGGAUGAACGGCCACAUUGGAACUGAGACACGGUCCAAACUCCUACGGGAGGCAGCAGUGGGGAAUAUUGCACAAUGGGGGAAACCCUGAUGCAGCAACGCCGCGUGAGUGAAGAAGUAUUUCGGUAUGUAAAGCUCUAUCAGCAGGGAAGAUAAUGACGGUACCUGAUAAGAAGCUCCGGCUAAAUACGUGCCAGCAGCCGCGGUAUACGUAUGGAGCAAGCGUUAUCCGGAUUUAUGGGUGUAAAGGGUGCGUAGGUGGCAGUGCAAGUCAGAUGUGAAAGGCCGGGGCUCAACCCCGGAGCUGCAUUUGACUGCAUAGUAGAGUACAGGAGAGGCAGGCGGAUUCUAGUGUAGCGGU